AUUCAGCCGACGAGUCCUAAAAAGAACGAAACAUACGUCCUGAAU
rfam:Schistosoma haematobium C10006823_1, whole genome shotgun sequence.